GUAUAUAUAUAUAUUCAUAUACACACGCAUACAUGUAUGCAUCAUAAAUAUAUAGCAUAUAUACAAGGUCAAUCACGGAACGUAACAUUUUAAAAUAACUCGUUAAAUAUACAUUGUAUAAAAAAAUGUUUCUUACAUAGAUAAAAAGAAACUAAAUUAUGGGGUAAAUGUAAUGGAUUCUGAUAAAGCAUCAAACUCCGCAUAAAAAACUAUCAUCUAUGUAAUAUCUAAAAUUGUUGAGUACUUGCUGAAUAAAUUGCCGAGUACACAAAUAAAUGUUUAUUAUCACAAAUGUUCAAAAAAAUGUAGAAAACAUUUUGUUUCAUACAAUGUAUGUUUUACGAAUUCCGUGACUCACCCUGUAUAAUAUAUUUUUGUCUAUUUUUCUUAAAACUCUGUUUGGUUCGUAUAACAAAAUGAAAAUGAAAAGUUUUAUAUGAAUCAGUUCAAUUAAAAUCUAAUUAAAUAGUCACUCGAGGAAAAACUUGCUCGCACAUAAUGGUAUAAUCAGAGAAUGAGAGAAUAUAAUUAAUAGUUCAUUGUAUUAAAAGUAAGUACUGGUAGGAGGAAAACAGUAUAUGUUAAUCAGUUGUGGUCAUUUGUCAAGGGAAAACCACAAAGUUACAAAGAUAUUGCAAACCGGAUUUACUUGCGUGAUGUUAAAAAUUAUAAAGAAGUUUAAUAUAAGGAUCGCACGAACUUUAUGAUUAAUUCCAAACUAUGUUUUUUUUUUGAAUGAUAACAUUUGUUUUAGGAUUAAUAUUUAAUGCUAUUCGUCUACGCUGAUGGAUUCUACACAAGUGAUCAAGAAUAAACAUUUAUAGUCCAAUAAAUAAAGACCUUAUGAUAGCAUGUUGAUAAUUGUACAUUUAAAAGGUACAGAUGUGCGUUGGGAAUAAAAGUGGGACUGUGUUAAAUCCUUUGGCUCAUCCAUCAGUCGAAUGCGUGUCAUCUCUGUUAAUUGUAAUCGGGAAUUUUAUCAUCAGGAUUAGAAAAAAAAAAAAA